UAUCUAGAAUCAACUAUCAUAAGUUAAAUCUAAAAUCAACAAUAAGAAAAUGCUAACAAAGAAAAACCAACACAAAAUCAAUUCUAACAAACCAAAUCAACACCAAUUCAAUUCUAAAGAAACAAAAUGGGCCUACUGACCCUUCCUAAGCCCAAUGCAGGGGGUGUAUGAGCAACAUAGUGAAGUGUAUGGUCCAAACAUGGGUGAAUAGGGGAUAUUGGGCCUAAAGCCCAAACUAUCCCUCAAGCUGCAUCAACAGGAAAAAAGAUCCCAAAUCGUUAUCCCUACGAAUGCAAAAGACGCUCCUCAAUAGCUUUCACGUCUCUGCCGCGCCGGAGUUAACCACCGGCAGUGGCAGAGUUCUCACUCACCUAAUUCGGAUCCUCAAUCACAACCGACGUAACGAGGAGUGCAGAAAUAAAGGAGAUGUCAUACCGGCGACGGUGAUGAUGGCGGAUGCGUCAACAUCUACUUUAAGAUUGAGGCGAUGCACGAUUUGGAAUUGUGAUUCCUCUGGAGUGCAGUUAUUGUUACAGCGAGGUGAGCGAACUUUGCGAUGUGGAGGAGUACAUGUGAAACAAAUUCCGUUAUUUGGAUUGAGUUCGAAGACUGAAGAAGAACGUGGUGGUUCCUCGAAAGAGGAUCUGAUGCGAUCACGGUCUGGUUAUGGAGGUUGAGAUAAAAUAUGGUGGUGAUUUGUUGUUUUCACGGGGAGAAGAAGAAACUCUCUGAAUAAAAAAACUGAAGAAGUUUCAACAUUCCAACUUCUGUUUUUAUAGGGUCGCUCGUGCGACUAUGAUUCUUUUAAUUUAUUUGGAUUAAUUUUUUGCAUUUUGAUGCUCUUUACGGUUUGAGUUAUAGCUUGGAUUUCCAUUUGGUUUCCGUUUUGCAUUACAGUUUUGGAUGUACUUUGCUUUGAGCCGCGCUUGGUUGCCGCGUUGCCGUUUCGGCUGAUAGCUUGUGUUUGCGGCUUUGGUGCGUUCGGAAGCUUAGCUCGCACUGCGUUUUGAUCCAAAUUUUUGUUCCGGUUAUUGCAACUUGAUUUUGGCUUGAUGGAAGCUUGUGUUUAUUGUCGUUUUACUUGCAAGCAGUUACUGUUCACGCCAUUUUGCCGUGGCAGCUAGUGUCGUUUAGCUGUUGCGUUGUGUUGGCUUGUGAUGCAUUGUACUGGCUUGCAGCUUGGAGUUCGUCGUGUGGCUCUUUGCGUGAGUGCAUCUUGCGGUAAUUUCUUUUUAUUCAUUACAUUUUGAGUCUGUAGCAGCUUUGGUGUACUGCGCUGGCGCGGUGUGUUUCGCAGCUAGCUUGUGUUACUGCUGAUGUUGGCUUCUUGGAGCGUGUGUUUUGCUUUGAGCUGCUUCGCAGCUAGUGCAGUAGCAACUGCAGCUUCACGUUGCCUUCUUUCUUUUUCCACUGUAUUGUUGCCUUCAUUUUUCUUUAAUGUACAUGGAUUAAUGAUUGUGGAUGGAAAAAGAUGAAAUUUGGAUAAUUGAAUUUUUAAAGGUUUACCGGAUAA